rnacentral:rRNA from 1 species
AUACAGAGGGUGCAAGCGUUAAUCGGAUUUACUGGGCGUAAAGCGCGCGUAGGUGGCUAAUUAAGUCAAAUGUGAAAUCCCCGAGCUUAACUUGGGAAUUGCAUUCGAUACUGGUUAGCUAGAGUAUGGGAGAGGAUGGUAGAAUUCCAGGUGUAGCGGUGAAAUGCGUAGAGAUCUGGAGGAAUACCGAUGGCGAAGGCAGCCAUCUGGCCUAAUACUGACACUGAGGUGCGAAAGCAUGGGGAGCAAACAGGAUUAGAUACCCUGGUAGUCCAUGCCGUAAACGAUGUCUACUAGCCGUUGGGGCCCUUGAGGCUUUAGUGGCGCAGCUAACGCGAUAAGUAGACCGCCUGGGGAGUACGGUCGCGAGACUAAAACUCAAAUGAAUUGACGGGG